GGUGUGACUGCGUACCUUUUGUAUAAUGGGUCAGCGACUUAUAUUCUGUAGCAAGGUUAACCGAAUAGGGGAGCCGCAGGGAAACCGAGUCUUAACUGGGCGUCUUAGUUGCAGGGUAUAGACCCGAAACCCGGUGAUCUAGCCAUGGGCAGGUUGAAGGUUGGGUAACACUAACUGGAGGACCGAACCGACUAAUGUUGAAAAAUUAGCGGAUGACUUGUGGCUGGGGGU
rnacentral:rRNA from 1 species